rnacentral:rRNA from 1 species
UACGUAGGGUGCGAGCGUUAAUCGGAAUUACUGGGCGUAAAGCGUGCGCAGGCGGUUGUGCAAGACAGAUGUGAAAUCCCCGGGCUUAACCUGGGAACUGCACUUGUGACUGUACGGCUAGAGUGCGGCAGAGGGGGAUGGAAUUCCGCGUGUAGCAGUGAAAUGCGUAGAUAUGCGGAGGAACACCGAUGGCGAAGGCAAUCCCCUGGGCCUGCACUGACGCUCAUGCACGAAAGCGUGGGGAGCAAACAGG